CAGCAGCCGCGGUAAUACGAAGGGUGCAAGCGUUACUCGGAAUUACUGGGCGUAAAGCGUGCGUAGGUGGUGGUUUAAGUCCGUUGUGAAAGCCCUGGGCUCAACCUGGGAAUUGCAGUGGAUACUGGGUCACUAGAGUGUGGUAGAGGAUAGUGGAAUUUCCGGUGUAGCAGUGAAAUGCGUAGAGAUCGGAAGGAACAUCUGUGGCGAAGGCGACUAUCUGGGCCAACACUGACACUGAGGCACGAAAGCGUGGGGAGCAGACAGGAUUAGAUACCCCCGUAGUCCCUGUCUCUUAUAC
rnacentral:rRNA from 1 species